CAAUAGCGUAUAUUAAAGUUGUUGCGGUUAAAAAGCUCGUAGUUGGAUUUCUGCUGAGGAUGACCGGUCCGCCCUGUGGGUGUGCAUCUGGCUCAGCCUUGGCAUCUUCCUGAAGAACGUAGCUGCACUUGACUGUGUGGUGCGGUAUUUAGGACAUUUACUUUGAGGAAAUUAGAGUGUUUCAAGCAAGCGCACGCUUUGAAUACAUUAGCAUGGAAUAAUAAGAUAGGACCUUGGUUCUAUUUUGUUGGUUUCUAGAGCUGAGGUAAUGAUUGAUAGGGAUAGUUGGGGGCAUUCGUAUUUAACUGUCGGAGGUGAAAUUCUUGGAUUUGUUAAAGACGGACUACUGCGAAAGCAUUUGCCAAGGAUGUUUUCAUUGA
rnacentral:rRNA from 1 species